GCGAUUAACAGUGGGUUCAGUGCAGCAGGACAGCCGGACCCCUGCCCCAGGCUCUCAGCAGGACAGCCGGACCCCUGCCCCAGGCUCUCAGCAGGACAGCCGGACCCCUGCCCCAGGCUCUCAGCAGGACAGCCGGACCCCUGCCCCAGGCUCUCAGCAGGACAGCCGGACCCCUGCCCCAGGCUCUCAGCAGGACAGCCGGACCCCUGCCCCAGGCUCUCAGCAGGACAGCCGGACCCCUGCCCCAGGCUCUCAGCAGGACAGCCGGACCCCUGCCCCAGGCUCUCAGCAGGACAGCCGGACCCCUGCCCCAGGCUCUCAGCAGGACAGCCGGACCCCUGCCCCAGGCUCUCAGCAGGACAGCCGGACCCCUGCCCCAGGUACUCAGCAGGACAGCCGGACCCCUGCCCCAGGCUCUCAGCAGGACAGCCGGACCCCUGCCCCAGGCUCUCAGCAGGACAGCCGGACCCCUGCCCCAGGCUCUCAGCAGGACAGCCGGACCCCUGCCCCAGGCUCUCAGCAGGACAGCCGGACCCCUGCCCCAGGUACUCAGCAGGACAGCCAGACCCGCCCCAGGCUCUCAGCAGGACAGCCGGACCCCUGCCCCAGGCUCUCAGCAGGACAGCCGGACCCCUGCCCCAGGUACUCAGCAGGACAGCCGGACCCCUGCCCCAGGCUCUCAGCAGGACAGCCGGACCCCUGCCCCAGGCUCUCAGCAGGACAGCCGGACCCCUGCCCCAGGCUCUCAGCAGGACAGCCGGACCCCUGCCCCAGGUACUCAGCAGGACAGCCGGACCCCUGCCCCAGGCUCUCAGCAGGACAGCCGGACCCCUGCCCCAGGCUCUCAGCAGGACAGCCGGACCCCUGCCCCAGGCUCUCAGCAGGACAGCCGGACCCCUGCCCCAGGCUCUCAGCAGGACAGCCGGACCCCUGCCCCAGGCUCUCAGCAGGACAGCCGGACCCCUGCCCCAGGCUCUCAGCAGGACAGCCGGACCCCUUGCCCCAGGCUCUCAGCAGGACAGCCGGACCCCUGCCCCAGGUACUCAGCAGGACAGCCGGACCCCUACCCCAGGUACUCAGCAGGACAGCCGGACCCCUUGCCCCAGGCUCUCAGCAGGACAGCCGGACCCCUGCCCCAGGUACUCAGCAGGACAGCCGGACCCCUGCCCCAGGCUCUCAGCAGGACAGCCAGACCCCUGCCCCAGGCUCUCAGCAGGACAGCCGGACCCCUGCCCCAGGCUCUCAGCUGGACAGCCGGACCCCCUGCCCCAGGCUCUCAGCAGGACAGCCGGACCCCUGCCCCAGGUACUCAGCAGGACAGCCGGACCCCUGCCCCAGGCUCUCAGCAGGACAGCCGGACCCCUGCCCCAGGCUCUCAGCAGGACAGCCGGACCCCUGCCCCAGGCUCUCAGCAGGACAGCCGGACCCCUGCCCCAGGUACUCAGCAGGACAGCCGGACCCCUGCCCCAGGCUCUCAGCAGGACAGCCGGACCCCUGCCCCAGGCUCUCAGCAGGACAGCCGGACCCCUGCCCCAGGCUCUCAGCAGGACAGCCGGACCCCUGCCCCAGGCUCUCAGCAGGACAGCCGGACCCCUGCCCCAGGCUCUCAGCAGGACAGCCGGACCCCUGCCCCAGGCUCUCAGCAGGACAGCCGGACCCCUUGCCCCAGGCUCUCAGCAGGACAGCCGGACCCCUGCCCCAGGUACUCAGCAGGACAGCCGGACCCCUACCCCAGGUACUCAGCAGGACAGCCGGACCCCUUGCCCCAGGCUCUCAGCAGGACAGCCGGACCCCUGCCCCAGGUACUCAGCAGGACAGCCGGACCCCUUGCCCCAGGCUCUCAGCAGGACAGCCGGACCCCCUGCCCCAGGCUCUCAGCAGGACAGCCGGACCCCUGCCCCAGGCUCUCAGCUGGACAGCCAGACCCGCCCCAGGCUCUCAGCUGGCGGUCAAGGUCUCCUGCUUUACUGAUAAACUUGUCUCCAGGGACCCACACCCCCUGCCCAAGGGCUCUUGAUCCUGGGCAGACUUAGAAGCAGUGCAGGGCCUCAGUGUGGGCCCUGAGCCUCGGGCUCUAAAGGGUGAAUGGCACGUUCACACCAUCGUCUUUCCUGGAAACGACAGCGCCUGCCAUUCAGGACAUUACCCAGCCCCCGGCCUGAUAGCCCAUGACUCUCCGGUUCAUAACACAAAAUCACACUUUUCAUCAAGAAGCUUGUAUUCUCCAGAUAAUUCAAGAAUCCACACAGCAAAUCCAGCACAGACUGUUUGCUUCCCAACACCCAGACACAUGUGCCUGCAAAUUCCUGAUGUUACGAAGACCUGCCCCGGAGAGGGGAGGCAUCGCCCCAGGCAACCCCAGUAUGCUGACAACCCACACCCCAGACAACUCCAGGAGACUGACAACCCACACCCCAGCUGACCCCGCAUCCUGGCUGUGAUGGGGCUGCCAUCCACACCGCCUGCUCCAAGGGCUCUGCUGCUCCGGGUUGGACCUGCACGGUUCUGGGUCACUGCAGGACUUGGGACAAGUGACUCAGUUCCCCAUUGAGCAGGACAGCAUCCCAGCCGCCCUGGGUUACUGUGAUAUCAGGAGUCAGUGGCCAACGUUUCCUGAGCCCUCUUUCUGAGGCCAGACGCCAGCAUGGAGGCUGCAGCGAGUCCCUUCCCUCAUCUGCACGAGGCUUGGGGACCCCAUGGCCACCUGGCCCAGGUGUGGGCACCGAGGUGGGGCUGUGGGGUGAGCUCCCGGGUGGCCCAUGGCUGGCAGUCGGCCGUCCUGAGGGGACUCUAGGUACGACACGAGGUCCUCCAGCCACAGGCAUCAGCUUCCCCUCUCGGACACAGGCCAGCAAAGACAAUCGCCGGAUGUCUGAGUACCCCCUCUCCUUCCAAAACAAACAGAAAACCCGUCCACAGCAUCUGUCGACCAAAAGAAGAACCGCCAGAGUCCAGGGAAGCAGCUUGCCGGGAACCUGCCAGGUUUGCAUCGAAUUCCCCGAGUUCCGGAAACCCCGUCCGUCCCAGGCAAACAGGCACCGUGGGUCACCCUUCCGGGACCCACAUUCGCGCCAGGCCUAGGUGGAGGCCUUGGCCCUGGGAAGGAAGGCUGACCAGAAGCCUCGGCACCCUGCCCCCGCGGCCACGUGUGGACGCAGAGGCCUCUUGGGCGGUGAAAGGCUGCUCCUGAAGGCGUUUCUGGUUUUUCCAUUUAUAAAGCAGAGUGAGGUUAUAAAUCAGAAAAGUGUUUACAGGAGACACACAGCUGGCAAUAACAGCUUUGAGGGGCCACUGCGUCUCUGUGACUAUUUCAUCUUCCACGCCAACUUAAACAUGAGAAAAAAAGGCUUUGCAGCCCAGGGCCCCGCUGCACGGCCCAGCAGAUCGAGAGCAUUUGCAAUAAUUCAUAGACUUCUCACUUUCAUUUUUCUGCCGCCCAGGAAUUACAUUCCACUAUUAAAAUGCGCUGGGACUGCCUGGCCCGGCCGCUCCUGCGUGUUCAGACACAGGUCGGGCGAGGACCCUGUGCGGCCCCAAGCGGACCCUGCUGCGGCUCCGGGGCCGGGCGCUUGCCCCCUGCUGGACACACGGUGCACUGCAGGCAGCCCAGAGGGCCCUCCCCGCUCUGCGGGUGAGAAAAUCCCGAGACAGGCGGGUUUCCUCUGAGAUGGCCACGGUUCCAGGUGAGAAAGCAGGCGGGAGGGAAGAAGCUGGCGUCCAGGCCCCUGUGCAGUCACAUCUGGUCCUCUGCGGCCCGUUCCUGUUCUUGGGAUGCUGGCGGGGGCACUGCCCCAGCUCAGGGGCACAGAAGACCCAGAUGGGUGCAGGCAGGAAGGCCAGCUUGGUCGGGGUGGUGGGGGGGGCCUGGGCCAAGGCCAGAGCCGGGACAGCCCCCAGGUGUGGUCGGGCCUGGACCUUCCCUACUGCAGACCCAGUGGGUCCCACUCGCCUUCAGUCGAGGCUUUGUCACCUCAGGGCAAGUUGAGGGCAGAGCUGGGACUCCCCAGAUACUGCCUGAUCUGCUCUCACUGACCCAGCCCCAGAGCCCCAGGCAGGAGGGAUGGGCAGGGCCUGAGGGACAGGUCUCUGUGGUCCUCAGAGCCUCACCCAUUCACAGUCAGGCAUGGGGCCAGAGAAGGCCGUGCUUCAGUGGGACCACCCACUGAAGGCCGAAGGCCGGUGCCAGCCGUCCCCACAACAGGACCCGGAGGCCUCUCUGCCCCAUCCUCCAGAUCCAGCCUCUAGUGUGCACAAGCUGAGAGGGGAUGCUGAGGGCAAGAAGGAGCGGGACUUGGGUGUCCUGUCCCACACGCCCCCGAGGGGCUGGCAGGGGAGGAUGGGGCAAGAUGGUGGAGCUUGUCAGGGGAGAUGGGGAGCACAUUUCAGCAGCUGUGCUCUUCUGGGACAGCACAAACUGUCGGGGAGAAGAGUGAUGGCCGGCAAUGCCCCUGGGCAGCGAGGGGUCCCGAGUCCAGGGGCUCAAAUGCUUCGGGGCACGGUGACAAUGCCACCUCCUCCAGGAAGUCUCCCCAGACUGCACUGCCCAGUGGUGACUCUGAGCUGACUGCACCUCCCCUGAACUCCCGCCCUAGGAGCAGCCACUCUCCGGCUGCAUGACUCUCUAAGACUCGGGAGGUUUGGGGCGCAGUCCCAGAGGUUUUUCAGGAAACAGCCACUAAAUGGAUGAAUGAAUGAUGAAACCUGCUGCUCAAGGGCUGCAGACCUGGGCUCUCCCUGCACUGCCCGGGCCCUCAGGGCUGCACCACCCAGGCUGGGUCGGG
rnacentral:lncRNA from 1 species